AUUGAACGCUGGCGGCAUGCCUUACACGUGCAAGUCGAACGGCAGCACGGGUGCUUGCGCCUGGUGGCGAGUGGCGAACGGGUGAGUAAUACAUCGGAACGUACCUUAUCGUGGGGGAUAACGCAGCGAAAGCUGUGCUAAUACCGCAUACGCCCUGAGGGGGAAAGCGGGGGAUCGCAAGACCUCGCGCGAUUAGAGCGGCCGAUGCCUGAUUAGCUUGUUGGUGGGGUAAAAGCCCACCAAGGCGACGAUCAGUAGCUGGUCUGAGAGGACGAUCAGCCACACUGGGACUGAGACACGGCCCAGACUCCUACGGGAGGCAGCAGUGGGGAAUUUUGGACAAUGGGGGCAACCCUGAUCCAGCAAUGCCGCGUGAGUGAAGAAGGCCUUCGGGUUGUAAAGCUCUUUUGUCAGGGAAGAAACACCGGCUCUAACACAGUCCGGGAAUGACGGUACCUGAAGAAUAAGCACCGGCUAACUACGUGCCAGCCGCCGCGGUAA
rnacentral:rRNA from 1 species